rnacentral:rRNA from 1 species
GACGAAUGAUGGCGGGGGGAGGAACACAGGCAAGUCGAACGGAAAGGCCCUGCUUUUGUGGGGUGCUCGAGUGGCGAACGGGUGAGUAACACGUGAGUAACCUGCCCUUGACUUUGGGAUAACUUCAGGAAACUGGGGCUAAUACCGGAUAGGAGCUCCUGCUGCAUGGUGGGGGUUGGAAAGUUUCGGCGGUUGGGGAUGGACUCGCGGCUUAUCAGCUUGUUGGUGGGGUAGUGGCUUACCAAGGCUUUGACGGGUAGCCGGCCUGAGAGGGUGACCGGCCACAUUGGGACUGAGAUACGGCCCAGACUCCUACGGGAGGCAGCAGUGGGGAAUAUUGCACAAUGGGCGGAAGCCUGAUGCAGCAACGCCGCGUGCGGGAUGACGGCCUUCGGGUUGUAAACCGCUUUCGCCUGUGACGAAGCGUGAGUGACGGUAAUGGGUAAAGAAGCACCGGCUACCUACGUG